GUACCUGGCUCAGGACGAACGCUGGCGGCGUGCUAAUACAUGCAAGUCGAGCGGACAGAUGGGAGCUUGCUCCCUGAUGUUAGCGGCGGACGGGUGAGUAACACGUGGGUAACCUGCCUGUAAGACUGGGAUAACUCCGGGAAACCGGGGGCUAAUACCGGAUGGUUGUUUGAACCGCAUGGUUCAGACAUAAAAGGUGGCUUCGGCUACCACUUACAGAUGGACCCGCGGCGCAUUAGCUAGUUGGUGAGGUAACGGCUCACCAAGGCGACGAUGCGUAGCCGACCUGAGAGGGUGAUCGGCCACACUGGGACUGAGACACGGCCCAGACUCCUACGGGAGGCAGCAGUAGGGAAUCUUCCGCAAUGGACGAAAGUCUGACGGAGCAACGCCGCGUGAGUGAUGAAGGUUUUCGGAUCGUAAAGCUCUGUUGUUAGGGAAGAACAAGUGCCGUUCAAAUAGGGCGGCACCUUGACGGUACCUAACCAGAAAGCCACGGCUAACUACGUGCCAGCAGCCGCGGUAAUACGUAGGUGGCAAGCGUUGUCCGGAAUUAUUGGGCGUAAAGGGCUCGCAGGCGGUUUCUUAAGUCUGAUGUGAAAGCCCCCGGCUCAACCGGGGAGGGUCAUUGGAAACUGGGGAACUUGAGUGCAGAAGAGGAGAGUGGAAUUCCACGUGUAGCGGUGAAAUGCGUAGAGAUGUGGAGGAACACCAGUGGCGAAAGCGACUCUCUGGUCUGUAACUGACGCUGAGGAGCGAAAGCGUGG
rnacentral:rRNA from 2 species